UCGUUUGGGUCGGGUAUAAAAGUAAAAACUGUCUAUUAUUUCAGAGAUAGGUAUAAGUUUAGAUAUAAGCUUGGAAUAGAUUAAUUUUGCGUUUGAAUAAAAAUUGAGUUAUUUUCGAAAAUUAAAAAAAAAACGUUUGGAUAGAUAAAAUAAAAUAAAAAGAAUAAUAGGUAAUUAUAAAUAAAAAAUAAUAAUAUUGUCCCUCAUAUUAUAUUUGAAUUUAAGUUUUAUAUUUAAAUUUUUUAAUUUAAAUAUAUAACUUUUAAAUUUCAAAAAUUUAAAAUUUAAAUAUAAAUUUUUAAAUCUCAAAUUUAAAAAUUUGAAAUUCUAAAUUUAAAUUUAAGAUUAAAUCUAAACUUAAAAAUUUAAAAUAUUAAAAUUUUAAAUUUUAAAAAAAUUUAAAAUAUCAAUUUAAAAAUUAAAAUUUAGAAUUUAAAAUUAUAAAAUUUUAAUUUUAAGAUUCCAAAUUAUACCUUUUUAAAAUUUAAAAUUUAAAAUUUAAAUUUUAAAUUUUAAAAUUAAAUAAGACACCCCUAUUCCCACACAAGGGGUGGGAUAGCCAUCCCACCCCUUGUUUUUUUGUGUUUGGGGACUUUCCCCCAGCCAAACGACCGCUUGAAAUCUAAAAUUGAUAUGUCGUUGUCACUUUCCAAAUCUAGUAUUACAGGUUUAAUUUAUACUAAUGUAGAGUUUAGAGUUCGGAUUCUCUCUCCAAUACCAGGUACAUGAAUUGUGAGUCCUAACAUAUAUAACAGGUGCCCUUUGUGAAACCAAUGAAUUUGCUUAGCUACAUUUGGAUCAUCCCUCCAAUUAUUGCGUGGCCCCUAAUACGAGCAAAGAUGCGGAUCACCUUUUUAUAUCAUUCCCACCCAACAGAGAUUGCGAAAGAGAUAUAAAAGGAUCUCAGGCUCUCAAAUUUGCGCUGACCCAUUAAUUGCUUAUAAUGAUAUGAUGAGCCAUUUAACUGAAAUUCGGGACCUGUACAGUAUAAGGCGUAGCCCACAUAUUAAGUAGAUGGUUGUGAGCUUGUGAUUGAGAGACUAUCCUCCAACUCACAAACUAUCAGGUAAUGUAUACUAUUCAGAGCAUACAUCUAGUGUCAUUUAAUAUCAGAUCCAUUGCAGGACAAACCAUAUAAUGGAAGGAAAUUAGAUGGAUGAUGGAUUCAUUGAAGUGUUAACAUCAUACUAAAUGCGUGCCAUUUAUAUACUCCACAUAGUUUUCUUUUUCAAGGUUAAGUAGGCUCAUAUAUUGUCAUAAGAAAUAUAUUUUUACCAACUCUAUUUGCAGCGUUAAAAAAAAAAGAAAAGAAGAAGGUAGUUUAGGAAACAUACUCCUAGUUGAUUAAUUCGAGUUUCUAGUCUCCUAUGCCAUGUUUUGUUGUAAGAAAAAAAAAGUGUUAGAUCAUAUUAUAAAGCUUAAGAAGCCUAACGAAUAAUUUGGUGAUAACCACUCUUUGUUUUUGCUCUUGUAAUGAUCAGGUCAUAUAUUGUACUUGUGGUAACUGCUUGACCCUUUCAUUGUUCACGCUAUCCUAGAGUAAUUACUACCAAACUGACUAUCAUGGCUGUAGAAAAUUACUUUAAUUGAAUGAUCAAUCGAGUAUAAUUGAGUGAGUUACCCACUCAAGCACAAUGUGAAUUCAUCGGUGAAAGACCUUAAUAACCUUUUCUAUUAGGGACUUGAUAUUUAUGUAGCUGAUUUUGCUAUUCGUGCGGCACAUUCGCUGCAUCUUGCUAUGAUUCAGACUAUUUUACGCAAUGACUAGCUAAAAAUAGCUUGAGUAAUACAAAUUUACUUUUGAUUAUGAUCCAAUUUUCGUUCUUUUGGUGUUUAAAUUGUCUGCAUAGCUUUUUCGAUUAUAAUUAGGAGAGCAUUAGCUAUCGAUGUUGAUGUAGUUCUAACCAACUAUUGAUGAGGUGUGGCCAAAUCGCAGAAUCACUUGAACUAUGCCAUGCAGUGCAAAUGUCAUGGAAAAUGCACCAGAAAACACUAGUUGGGGGGGGGGGGUUUUGGUUGUGUGGCGGGAAUCGGCAGGGAUGGGCGGGAAUGAUUAUAAGGAUAAUAAUAGGUAUUAGUUUCGAUCAUUUGUUCGCCACAUUGGGAUUUUAAUACUCGAAUCCAAUGACACUAUGAAGAUGAUUCAGUUGUUAUGAAAAUUUGGAGAUAGCAUGACAAAAUCAACUUAAUUAACCAAAGCCUUACAUUACUGCAUAAAAAUAGGCUUCAGCUGAAACAAUCGCAGUGAACUUGACCACCGCCUGCAUAUUUCUGACGUCUUAAAUAUCAUUUUCACAAAAUGUUACCGCAGAUUAAAAUACAGUCAUAUAAUAAACAUAUUUAAGGAAGAUAAAAGCAUAUGAAUAGCUUGGCAAUAAUAGUAAGAUCAGAAUUAAGCUUAUUUUUCAGCUUAUUGCUUCUCAAUUCUACAAUUUAGGGUACACUUUGAUACACCUACAACUACAAUCACAUCCAUGUCGUGCAGACCGCCCAACUUUAAACAUACACAUAAUUACACAUCGCGAUCAUGCAGCUUUUGUUUACUUCGGCGGCAUUAUCUUCCAUCAAAAACUGGUCAUUUUACUUACGGUGGACAUAUUAGAUCUGAAUCAAAGACAUCUUUGCUUACUCUUGCUCGCAGUAUCUCAUUUUCGGUCAAGCUUGAGCAGAGACUAUCAGGAGAGAGUUUAUUGGCCCCCCGCUUCACAAAACGGAUCCACACAUGGCCUUUUGAACUAGCAUACAAAGAGCUACCAGGUACAGUACCUUUUCCUUGUACGUAGCAGCAAAUUAUUCAAGUAGAAAUAGCCCACAAAAGGGUAUUAGAGUACCAGAUUAGAGUUUGGAGGCAGUGGCCAGCUUGAUGAGAUCCUUUCUCAGAAUCUUCCCCGAUGCGCUCUUCGGAAUGUUCGAUACAAAGGCCACUUUUCGAAUCUUCUUGUAGGGCGCCACCUGCGAUUAUUUAACACAGAAAUUAGAAUACUACAUACUAAAAUGAUGAAUGGACCCUAAAGCUAUGUUCAUCGAAUUGCAAAAGCGAACCGAAAAUAAUGGUUUUCAUCUUGUUUGUUUUUAUUUUUGUGAUUUCCAACUAGCUUAAAUUUGUAGAGAAAACGAAGACAAUGUACAGCAGCAAAGAUCUACAAACCUGGAUUUACCAAUUAGAGACAUUGAACCAUUUACUGAAUCGAGAUUUACCUGCUUCUCCACAAACUUCAUCACCUCAUUCUCGGACAAUUGGCUCCCGUCCUUCCGCACCACAUACGCCAUCGGAACCUGCCCCGCCGCCUUAUCUGGGAACCUGCACCAAUUUCUCAACAGUUAAGAAAGCCAACAUAGACCGCAUCAAACAGUGCAUUUCUACUCCUACAUAUGGCAAGGCCCUGCAAUUCCUUACGGUAUAACAGCGGCGUCGACAAUGUCAGGGUGAGUUAGCAACAAUGCCUCCAACUCCGCAGGAGGCACCUGUAAGAAAGCAUUAUCCGCCACACAAUCAAAAUCAGACGACUCACGUUAGUCAUCAGUCCUGCAUAUUCUAACUGGACCGCCAAAAGUACCUGAUAGCCUUUGUACUUGAUCAGCUCCUUGAGCCGAUCCACCACGAAGAGGUACCCGUCCUCGUCUAUGUAGCAGAGAUCUCCUGUUCUUAGCCACCCCUCCGAGUCCAAAGUCGAGCGCGUGGCCUCCUCGUUCUUGAAAUACCCUGGAAACAUGAUGGGCAACAUUGUCAUUUCAUAAAUAACAGAAUAACAAGUACAGAAUCUUUGUAGACUUGGCGCGUGCACAAAAUUUCUGCAUGCUAAAUAAUCUAGAUGUUUAGCUGAAUUGGCCGACUGUCAAUUUACAGCCUCACAUUUCAGCUAGACGGUCCGAUCAACGGUCUGCAAAGUUUUUAAGUCAUCGAAUCUAUAGAGAAUCUGUGCUUGUGAGUAACUUCCAAUGACGAGACUCUUUAAUUCGCGGUCGAUAUAUGUUGGUUUAAGAUUCAAGUGUUGUGCAUUCUCCCCAUGGUAGACCAUCUGAUUAAUCGUCUACAUCGCUUCAGUAUUCGUGUACUAUAGGUCACGGAUGAUAUGUUAUACUGUCCCGCAAGAGGGCUCUUGCAUAAUGUUGUUGAAAUAUUGUUUGAACUACGGACAAAUUAACAUGUCCAACAAAUGAUAAAAUAUUGACAAAAUUAUCUAACAUUUAUGAGUCUAGGUAUAGUGCGGCCAUUCAAAACUCACGAAACUACUUGUACCCGCACCAUAAGUCCACAACAUUAAGAUCAAUAUAUUAGGGUAAUAAUAGGUGAGGGAUAAUCUACACAUCUGUAUAUUUGUUGUUAAGAUUCGAUUAGAUUUGUAAUUAGUUAUCUAGUUAAAUAAAAAUUAAUAUUUAAAUUUAUUAAAAAUAAAUUAAAAUUUAAAAUAUUAAUUAGAAUAUAAAUAUAACUAGAUUAGAAUAAAUAUUUAAAUUUAUUGAAGAUAAAUUAAAUAUAAAUUUAAAUAUUUUUUUAAGAAAAAUAUAUUUUUAAAUAUUAAUUGGGGUGAUUUCGGUACAUUCUGAUUGACCUUUUAGAUAUAGGACCAUAGUAUAUGUAAAUUGUGGUGUAGUCUGUGGAGAGUGUACGGCUGAGUGUCAGGUGGUGUCGUACGUGGUUACAUGCACCUAGUGCAUUGAUGCGCCCAACAAAAAAAUCUUUAGGUCUAUGGAGGAUCAAAGAAUAUUCUAUGCAGAAGAUUAGUCAGAUGUUUUUAUUUUUUUAUUUAAUAAAUUUUAUUUUUAUCCGUAUAUUUUUUAUUUUGUUAUUUUUUUUUAUAAUUAUCUCAGUUUUUGUUGAGAAUAUAGAUUUAUGGUAAAAACUUUAUUUGCAUUUCCGUUGCGAAAUCUCAACAACCGGUAUCGAAUUUACAACAGUCAGCGGAUUGCGGAUUGCGAAUUUUUAAAAUUUGGUACUAGAAAAAGUACCAGAUUCUCAGCAUUUAUGCACAAUGCAUUUUUCUAUUUUCUUCGAAAUUAAAUUUAAAUUUAUGAUUUAUGAUGGUGGAAUACGGAACACGAAUGUGGAGAUGAGCAAGGUUAAGGCACCUUUCAUGACGUAGGGCCCGCGGAUCCAGAGCUCGCCGGUGCGGUUGACGGGGAGGGGCUUGCCGGUGUCGGGAUCGACGACCCGCGCCUCGGUGUUGGGCGCCAGCAGCCCCGCCGAGCCGUACCUCCGGCAUUCCUCGGGCGAGUCGGUGGAGGCGCCGAGCGCCGUGGUCUCCGUGAGGCCGUACGCCUGCAGAAUCUCGAUCCCGGGGUACUUGUCCCUGAACCCCUCGAUCACCUCCCUGCUCAGCGGCGCACCCGACGAGUGUAUCCUCCGCACCCGCCCCAGCCGCAGCUUCCCGCUCCCGACCCCCAGCAUCGCCACCAGGAUCGGCGGCACCAGCGGGAGGUACGUCACCCCGUAGGCCUCGAUCGCGCGCAGCAUCUCCCCCAUCUCGAACUUGGGGAGCACGACGAUGGUGGAUCCCGCCCCCAGAAGCCCCGUGGAGAACGCGACGAGGCCGUAGACGUGGAACAUCGGGAUCGUGCAGAGGAAGGUCUCCGGUUCGUCGGGGUUGAACCGGCUGAUGAUGAUCUGGACCAUGGAGAUGAGGUUGCGGUGGGUGGCGACCACCCCCUUGCUCGCCCCCGUCGUCCCCGAGGAGUAGAGCAGCGUCGCGGGGUGGAGCUGCUGAGGGCGGAGCGGCGGCGGCGGCUGCUGCUGCUGCUGCUAGGGGCCUAGGAGACGUGGUAGCGGCUGUACGAGCGGCGGCUAGGGCUGGGGUAAGGGGUGGGCUACUACCUCGGGCACGCGGUCCUGCNUCGGGACCGUGCAGAUGAAGGUCUCCGGCUCGCCGCCCCCCGAGGAUUCGUCGGGGUUGAACCGGCUGACGAUGAUCUGGACCAUGGAGAUGAGGUUGCGGUGGGUGGCGACCACCCCCUUGCUCGCCCCCGUCGUCCCCGAGGAGUAGAGCAGCGUCGCGGGGUCGUCCUGGCGCACGGGCUCCAUCAUCGGGUGGGGAAUGGGGUCGGGAUCGGCGGCGAGCAUGUCGGCGAUGGUGCAGAGGAUCCGGGGAUCGUCGUCGUCGUCGUCGGCGGCGGCGGCGAGGCGGGAGUCGUCGAGGAGGACGAUGGGGAGGUCGGGGCGCGCGGGGAGCUUGGGGACGAGGGCGCGUGGGGCGAAGGCGACGGCGGGGGCGGCGUCGGCGACCUGCCUGGCGAUCUCGGCGGGGGUGUUGACGGGGUUGGUGGUGGUGAUCACGGCGCCGAGGGACAUGGCGGCGAGGGCGACGACGGGGAAGUGGAUGGAGUUGGGGGAGAGGAGGAGGACGACGAGGCCCUUGCGGAGGGAGAGGGGCGGGGCGCGGAGGGACGAGGCCACGGCGGCGACGGAGCGCCAGAGCUCCGGGAAGGAGACGCGGCGCCCCGUGGCGGCGUCGAUGAGCGCGGUGGUCCCCGAGUGGCGCCGCGACGUGAGGAACGUGGUCACGUCGAGGUCGGGCUCCGCGGGGAGCGCCACGGGCCGUCGCUUGCUAUAGAAGGUCGCGUUCGCCGCGCAGAACCCACUGCGCGGAUCCACCUCCCAUUCCGAUCCCUUCUUCUUCUCCGGGUACGCCAUGAUCCUCUCUCCUCUAUCUCUCUCCUCUAUCUCUCUCCCUCUUUCCUACUUAAUUUAUCUCACCCAUUACUGUGCGUUUUAUAUAUAUACAAUGCUAGGCGAAUGAAUCUAGAAGAUAAGCUACCUAUCUCUCAAACAAAAAAAAAAAGAAAAAAAAGAAUUUAGAAGGUAAGCAAUAAAUGUGAAUCAGUUGGGGGGCAGGGGAACUAACUUGAUAAUGGACGCAGGUACGAGAAGAAGCAAAACUUCUCAGGGUCCACUUUUAGCUUUCUUUCUAAAAAUAAUAGCUGCACGUUAAACAUAAAUAUAAUAGAGCGGAGUUACUGUAUUAUCAAAAAUGUAAAGUAUUUGCUGCUUUCAAUUUUUUUAUCCUUAGAUUAAUUUUUUUAAUUAUUUCUAACAUUUAAAUUAACAUUAUUACUCUAUAAAAACUACUCAACUCUAGAUGACCAUUCAACUCAGAUAGAGAAAACCGCAGUCAUCCUAAUCGUUCAAUUUUAAUUCAAAGUUAAAAAAUCAGAAACGCCAAAUUUUCUAUACUUUCGGCAGUAUGGUAGCUCUAUAAAUAAAUUUUAAAAUUUUUAAGUUUAUGCCAGCACAAUCAUCAAAUAAUAAGACACCAAAAUACCUUACUACUACUUAUUUAAAUAUAGUAGUUCAGUUCUAUUUAGGCCCAUCUUUGUUAGUAGGAAACUGCAUGCUCAAGAUUAAUAUGUUGAUAAUUUUAUAUAAUAUUUUAAGUUAUGAAUUAAUUAAAUUCUCGCUAAUAGCAGUUUUGAAGACCAGUGGGCAAAUGAUAAGAAAAGAAGGAAUUUUUAGUAUAUAAACUACGAUGUAAAAUUUUUAAUGUAAUUAAAUUACGCACACACCUUAAUAUCAAUAAAUACAAUAACAACACAUAAAAAAGACAAUAUUUCAAAAAAUCUAUGGAAAAUGCUAGUUGUUCACUUAAAAAUAAGAUGUAAAUUUUAUACCCAUUAAUCUAAAAAAUUAGAAUUUAUUACAAAAUUUUAAUAUUAAAAAAUUGGGUAAGCUAAGAUUGAAAAUAUUAAACUUUAAAAGAAUAAAAUAUAUAAUUUAUAUAAUAUAAAAAAAAAUUUAUUCAUUUAGUUUUAUUGCGUCUCGGUCUCUCACCAACGCCCUUGCUCGUAACAUGCGCCUCGGUCUCUCACCAACGCCCUUGCUCGGCUCCGUACGGAAGAGCCCACAACGGCUUGGCUUAAUUGAAGCUUUUAUUAAAUAUACGUGGCCUUUUGGCUACAUGUACUUUUACAUAUCUAUCCAUCUGUCUUUCUAUCUAUCCAACAAUCUAUGUACAUAUAUUAAUGGAUAAUACCGUCACAUCAAGAAAAACGGCUCCUUAACGAACCGCGUUAGUACCGACUGUCCCUAUAGGAAAUGAUAAAGAAUUUGGUAGUUGAUAUUCGAGAUCCCAAUUUCGAAUUCUAAUUAAUUCACAUUUUCAGCUAAAUUUAUUUCUAAAUAAAAUAAACGAAACGGAUAGUGCGGUACUUUUUUUUUAAGACAUGAGAGAAUAGUUAGCAUGUCAUGUGNAAAUAUUUAAAUAAAUUAUUAUACAAUAAAAAUUUAUCUUUCAUAUAUAUAUCUUAGAGUUGAUUUAUGAUGCACUCAAUAGAUCUAAUAAUUUUUUUUUUUUAAGAAAAGAACCGCGUUAGUCUUAUUAUUUAAGACAUGAGAGAAUAGUUAGCAUGUCAUGUGUUCAAAAAAAAAAAAUUAUUAGAUCUAUUGAGUGCAUCAUAAAUCAACUCUAAGAUAUAUAUAUGAAAGAUAAAUUUUUAUUGUAUAAUAAUUUAUUUAAAUAUUUUAUAUUAUAUUAUAUAUAUUAUGUUAUAUAUUAUUUUAUAGUAUUAAUUACUAAAUAUUUUAUUAAUUAUCUAACAUUCCGUACGGUGUAUAGAGUAUUAGUGUACACAAGGUGCAACGACGAUUUUUUCUCUGUUAUGAAAUUAUGAAUCCACCCUAUUUAACAUUUUCUACACCAAGUGUAUAUGUGUACGUGCACCGCAUACUUAAAAUAUUUUAAUAUAGAUUUAAAAAUAUAAUUCUUGAACGUAAUUUAAGUCAUUAGGCUUUGUAAAUAAGAUAUAUUUAAUUAAAUUUUGAGAUUGUAAUAUUAGUCAUUUAAUAUAAAUAGUGGUGUAUGAAUGGUUAAUAUGUACUAGACUUUACAUGUAAUAAUUUUUUUUCUCUCAUCAAUUUUAAGAAGAUAAAGAUCCUCUCAUCUAUUUGGCAAUUUAAAAUAAGUCUUUCAGUUUUAAAUUUUUAGUUCAAAAUUUUAUUUAUAAAAUAACUACCAAAUUGAUUAAAUUUGAUUGAAUUUUGAAAUAAAGUAUAAAAAUAAUUUAAUUCUAAAAACACUAAAAGAUAAGAAAAUAUUAAUUAAACAAAGGCUAACGUUGAGGAAGUAAUUUCAAUAUGACCGUAAUUUCAAUAUGACCUAUAAUUGAUGACACAAUAUAUUUUAAUUCUUAUGAAAAUAAAGUUUUAUUUUGAUAUAUGUAAUCUUUUAUAUUUCUUUAGAAAAGUUAUGUAUAAAAAUAUUUAAUUAAAAAAAUUAUCUUCAAAUAUUUUAUAAUUAAUAAUAUCAAAAAAUAUUUUUUAAUAAGAAAAACGUGUAUGAAUUUAUCAUUUUUUAUAUAUAUUCAAAAGAAAAGAAAUUGAACGUAAAAUUUUAGUGAAUGUUUAUAUAUACAGAAGCCCCACCUUAAGUCCUUAACUACAGUAAUCUAUUAUAUUAUUAUAAUUUGAAGUACUAUUUAUUUAUUUUACUUAGGUUAUUUAAAUGGUUAUAAAAAGAAAAGACCUACAACUAAGUGUCAACUAUUGUAAAAUUUUAUUGAAUGAUUAAAUAUAGAGAGGCCUAUUUUAGUUAUAGUGUAAUAAUCUAUCAUCAUUUUAAGUACUAAACUCAAUAAUAAUUUACUAUAACAGCAUCUUCUCACUGUAUUGCGCAGGUCUUUUAACUAUAUAUAUAUAUAUAUAUAUAUAUAUAUAUAUAUAUAUAUAUAUAUAUAUAUAGAGUUUGGUUACUAUACUUUUAUGAAUACGAUCGCCCUCGUACUCAUAAGUUAUUUUCAAUGAUAGAGCUUCCGAAUCGACGAUCCAUACCGUUAAAUAUUAUCUAGAGUAUAUAAAACUUUUAGAAAUCAAUUUCAUAAUUUUUCGACAUCAUUUACCUUAUGAUCAAAAGCUCACAAAAUUGACAAUUUUUAACGGCCGGUAUAGAAUACUUGAUAGUUUAAUGGUGUGAGAGAAUUGGAAUAGGUUGAACUUUUGAUAGAAAAUUCUAUCACUACCUCGAUAAAGAUCAAUAACUCCGAUCUUAAAUUGAAGGAUCCGAUUUCCAUUUUUAAAACGUCGUUCAAUUUUCACCGUUCAUUUUAUACUCAUUUGAUGGACUUUAUUAUGUUUUCGAAAAAUUAUGAAAUUUAUUUUUUAAAAGCUUCAAAUAUUCUAGAUCAUAUUUAACGGAGUGAAUCGUCGAUUCGGAAGCCCCAUCAUCGAAAACAACUUAUGAGUACGAAGGGCCUACUACUCAUAAGAGUAUAGUAGCCCUACUAUAUAUAUAUAUAUAUAUAUAUAUAUAUAUAAAGAGAGAGAGAAAGAAGUAUGCUAAUGCUAAAAUGCUACUAAUAGCACCAAUGACUUGAUGCUAUAAGGUUUUCGGCUCUUAUAUUAAGAGAUGUAUGGUUAUGAUGAUAGUAAUUUUAUAGGGUUGAGUGAGUAGUUAGUCGAAUAAUAUGAUUUAGUAGAUGAAAAUGAUUAAAGGGAUAGAUUUAACGGCAAAAAAUUGAAUAGCACCAAAUAUUCGAUACUAUUAAUAGUAUCCCGACCCCCAUAUAUAUAUAUAGAGAGAGAGAGAGAGAGAGAGAGAGAGAGAGAGAGAGAGAGAGAGAGAGAGAGAGAGAGAAUAGGAGUUUCUAUACUUCUAUAAAGUACUAAAUCAUUGAUUAUUUCAAGUUUUCAGCCCUUGGCAUUUAUAAAAUUUAUAGGAAACCUUUUGCGAUUGUUCCUACUUUAUAAAAGAUUUAGGAAUAAAAGUAUUAAAAGAUUGGGAUUUUGAUAUUAAGGCAUGGGAAUAAAAAUCUGAAUCCAAUGGCAUAUAAAGAAGAUUCAGUUGUUAUGAAAGAUUUUGGAGACGGCAAGCACAAAAUUAACCUUAUUAGUUUAGGACCAGCGCUUGGUGGUUGUUAAUUUUUAUUUCAAUAUUCAAAAUUAUACUUGAUAAAAUCUUUCAAAAAUUUUGACUUAUCCCCUAAAUUAGAAAAGUACGUUAGAUAUUACAUGGUACGUAUAAUGAUACAAAACAUCUUCAAAAGUUUUAUACACAUCAUAUAUCAAAAACAUCUAUUACACAUAUGAAAUAUAAUUCUUCACUUCUAGUCUUUGUUCGAUUCGCCGGUUUCACCAAAACUGCAAAUAAAAUCAAAUAAUUUCAAAUAUAAUUUGUCAAAUAUUUGGAUAGAAAAUUGAUACAAUUAAUAAGAAAUCAAUCUCUACUAUUAAAUUACCAAAGAUGUUGCCUCUUGUUAUGUAAAAUUUCGGCCAAAUUGUCAAAAGACUGCAUAGAACUGUUGAAAAGAUUAUUUAACAAUUUUGAAGCUAAAAGAGAAGACAUAAAUUAACCAAACACAGCUCUUUUAAAUGAACAUCAGUAGCAAGAAAAAGAUAAUAAUGCAACAUGGAGUAGUGAAGAAAAGAUAAUGAUGCAACAAUACUAUUAACAUUAUAAAAAGAUCUAAAUGAAAUACACGAAUCCUAGACCAAGUGGCAAAAGACUUAGUGGUUGGUACCCGAUACCCAAGUUCGAAUCCUAGCUGACUCGCAUUUCUAGCUAAAUUUAUUUCUAAAUGAAAUAAACGAAGCAGGUAGCGUGCUACCUAUCUCUCAAAAAAAACAAACAAAAAAAAAACAUUAUAAAAAGAUCUCAAAUAACUCUCAUUGCCAAUCCAAAGUAAGACCACAUUCAGUGUCACACUAAUGGUGCAUUAUCCCAUCUAUUGGAAUAAUUGCAACCAAGUAGAGUCACGAAUCAGUAUUCAAGCGCAGUCAAAUUGUCGCGUCCUCCACAAACGAACAAUGAGAAAGCAACAAUCUGUCCAUAUUGGUGGAGAACUUAAAAAAAUUCUCAUAACAGAUCAGAAGCAAGACCAACCGAUCCUCUUACUGAUUUUUAGAAACAGCCUCUUGCUGAUGAAGGAAAACAGAGAACAGAUAAGGAGAACUUGCUGGUUUUUAGAAACAUCCUCUUACUGAUGUAAAGAAGCAUGGCUAACCAAUCCUGGCUCAAGGGUCAUAGAUAAUAACCAUAAACUCACAGAAACCCCAGUUAGUACAGAUAGCAAGUUAAAAAUAGCCAGUCAGCAAAAUACCUAAGAAAUUUUCAUCAGGGUUCCUAUAUGUAAAAUAGAGAAGCAAGCAAGUAGCAUCGAGAAGCACCACACAAGAAACCUCGAAUAAUGCUUGAAUAAGAUGCCUCCACAAGAUACAGAUCUAAAAAAUUUCAAAAGAAUAGUAAACAAAGAACAGAAAAGGAGAUAAUCUAGAAAUAGCUGAAGAGAUAUAGGGAGCAAGCAUAAACUUAUAUAGAGCAGCAAAAUAGACUGAAGAAAAAAGCAUUACUGUGGAUUGGUCAAAGGAUCUCAGGAGUUUCCCAGCUAGACUCUAUCAAAAAGUGAUCUGAUUCUUAUGUUUGCAGCCGAUGAAACAUUAGCAGGCAAAACAAGACCGACAUUUGAAGCAAGAUUGACAUCCAAUUGCAGAUAACACAUAAAAAGAUCAUAGAUAAUUCUCAUCAUUGAUCCAACGCAAGGCCAACCUUCAUCUGCAGUCUAAUACCUUGCUGAGCGUAUUCAUCAUUGAUCCGAAGCAAAACAGGAUUAAAGUGCAGUCUUUUACUUUCGAAAAAUGGAUCCUCAGCAGAUGGUCACAUGAAGCAGACAGUAAGAACAAAUUAUGCUGUGUUCUUGGCAACAGUCACAAAGCAAGUAGAGUGAAGAAGCUGUAUUCACAAAGCAAGGGCAUGGGCGAAGCCACGGCGAGCGGAAGAAGGAGAAGGAAGGUGGGAAGGGAGAGCUAGGGUUAGAGGCCUGCAGAAAAUACAGGCAUAGGUCGAUAGGUCUGCAGGAGGAAUAAGAGGGUAGGCGAAAGGACAUGUAACGAAAAGGGUGCGCGAAAGGCUGCGAUAGAGGGCUAUGCUUAUAGACCUGUAGGAAAUAAUGACUUCCAAAAAGAUAAGUCUAUAGGACUGCAAGAGGAAUUAGAAUGUAGGUUUAGAUCUAUAGGUCUAUAGCAGAAUAGUAGAGGGAAAAGAGAAAGAGUAAGGUUCAUCUAUUUAGAAGACGACAAGUGGAACAAGCUAACAGCCGAUUUAUAUAUUUGUCUUGAUUAUCAAAGCCUUAUAACAUAGGCAUUCCCAACUGAACCAAUUCGCUUGAACUUGACACCGCUCUUGCAUUUUGGACUCAAAUUAAAAUCAACAUUAUUACCGCAUAAAAUAUAGUCACACAAUAAACAUAUGUAAGGAAGAUGAAAGCAUAUGAAUAGCUCGUGAUAAUAUUAAGAUCAGAACUAGACUUAGCCUUCAACUUAUUGCUUCAAUUCUACAUUUACAAGUACAGCUUGAUACAUCUACAGACUACAAUGACAACCACAUUGGUGAGCCUGCGCAACUUUAAAACAUACACUGUAAAAUACAAAUCUGCGGUCAUCAACUUUUUGUUUACGGGCACAUUAUCUCCAUUGUAAGCUGAUCAUCAUAUUCACGAUAAUUAGGUCCAGAAAUCAAAACAUCUUUGCUCACUCUUGCUUGCAGUAUCUCAUUUUCGGUCAAGCUUGAGCAGAGACUACCAGGAGAGAGUUUGAAUUGGUCCCCCGCUUCACAAAACGGAUUCACACAUGACCUUUUGAACUAUCAUACAAAAGCUACGUACAGUACCUUUUCCUUGUAUAUAGCAGCAACUUAUUCAAGUAGAUAUAGCUCAUUACUGCAUAAAAUAUAGGCAUUCCAAGCUGAACCAAUUCGCGUGAACUUGACACCGCUCUAGCAUUUUGGACUCUUAAAUAAUUUCAACAUUGUUACCGCAUAAAAUACAGUCAUAUAAUAAACAUAUUUAAGGAAGAUGAAAAGCAUAUGAAUAGCUUGCAAUAAUGGUAAGAUCAGAAUUAAACUUAUUUUUCAGCUUAUUGCUUCAAUUCUACAUUUAGGAGUACAGCUUGAUACACCUACAGACUACAAUCACAUCCAUGUUCGUGAGACCGCCCAACUUUAAAACAUACACUAUAAAUUACACAUCUGCGAUCAUCAGCUUUUGUUUACUGGCGCAUUAUCUCCAUCAAAAACUGGUCAUUUUAUUCGGGACAAUUAGAUCUAGAAUCAAAACAUCUUUGCUUACUCUUGCUCGCAGUAUCUCAUUUUCGGUCAAGCUUGAGCAGAGACUAUCAGGAGAGAGUUUAUUGGCCCCCCGCUUCACAAAACGGAUCCACACAUGGCCUUUUGAACUAGCAUACAAAGAGCUACCAGGUACAGUACCUUUUCCUUGUACGUAGCAGCAAAUUAUUCAAGUAGAAAUAGCCCACAAAAGGGUAUUAGAGUACCAGAUUAGAGUUUGGAGGCAGUGGCGAGCUUGAUGAGAUCUUUUCUCAGAAUCUUCCCCGAUGCGUUCUUCGGAAUGUCCGAUACAAAGGCCACUUUUCGAAUCUUCUUGUAAGGCGCCACCUAUAAUUAUUUAACACAGAAAUCAGAAUACUACAUACUAAAAUGAUGAAUGGACCAUAACGUUAUGUUCAUCAAACUGCAAAAGCGAACCGAAAAUAAUGGUUUUCAUCUAAUUUGUUUUUAUUUUUGUGGAAAUCGCUUCAACUUGGGCGUGAAAAAAAGUAAACACAAAUGGUUCUGUCUAGCUUUGGUUUCUAAGCAACUGAUUGUUAAAUACAAACUGUUAAAAUAUUGUUCAUGAAUAGCUUAAAUUUUUAGAGAAAAAGAUGACAAUGCAUAGCAGCAAAGAUCUACAAACCUGGAUUUACCAGUGAGGUAAGUGCACAUCAUAGCAUACAUCUAUAACACAUUCUACUUAUCACUUGAUAACA
rnacentral:lncRNA from 1 species